rnacentral:rRNA from 1 species
UACGUAGGGUGCAAGCGUUAAUCGGAAUUACUGGGCGUAAAGCGUGCGCAGGCGGUUUCGCAAGUCAGAUGCGAAAGCCCCGGGCUUAACCUGGGAACUGCAUUUGAAACUACGAGGCUAGAGUGUGUCAGAGGGGGGUAGAAUUCCACGUGUAGCAGUGAAAUGCGUAGAGAUGUGGAGGAAUACCGAUGGCGAAGGCAGCCCCCUGGGCUGAGAUUGACGCUCAGGCACGAAAGCGUGGGGAGCAAACAGG